UACGGAGGGUGCAAGCGUUAUCCGGAAUCACUGGGUUUAAAGGGUGCGUAGGCGGUUUGAUAAGUCAGUUGUGAAAAACCCCGGCUUAACCGGCGGUCGUGCGAUUGAUACUGUCAAACUUGAAUCAGGUUGAGGUAGGCGGAAUGUGGCAUGUAGCGGUGAAAUGCAUAGAUAUGCCAUAGAACACCGAUUGCGAAGGCAGCUUGCUGGGCCUAGAUUGACGCGGAGGCACGAAAGCGUGGGGAGCAAACAGG
rnacentral:rRNA from 1 species